UCAUGAAGUGCAGGCUUCAUUGAGAACAGAGCACAGCGAGUGCUCUGCAGCCCGGCCUAGCCCAAAGCAAGGCCCAGCGAGACAGUCCUGGCCCACGGGACAUGGAGUUCUGCAGACACCGAGGUCUAAAGGAAGGCAACGUUCUUCACCCUGCACCUUUGGAGAACUCCUUGUGGGCUGGAAAAGAGGUGACCACCAAGAACAUCCCAGGACUGUGGAGCCUUUGCUUUGCUACGCGCCGAGGUGGCCUCCCUUUCUCCAGAUGACACCCUUGGGCCAGAGAUUGCUUGGGAAGAGAUGGAGGACUGGACAGAGCCCACCCUGCUCCCUGCCUCUCCUGUGGGUGUGUUGGAAAUGCUUCUACGAAGAAGUGAAGAAUCUGAAGAACUGAAGCUUGAGAGCAGCCCUGCGUUCCUGAAGCGAGGAUCUCCUUUUUCAAACGCACGACUUAGAAAACGGGCUUGUUUUUCUUGCGGCCUUAUGCACUUGCUAAGUCGAGGAGGA